UGAUCAGUUGGCCAUAUAGAUCAUACUGGA
rnacentral:piRNA from 1 species